rnacentral:lncRNA from 1 species
GGUUCUUCUGGAGCGUUCUGAGUUCUGUAUUAUGUAUCUGGAGUUCUAAAUCAGGAAACCAUGCUGGCUGCACUCUGGAAGCUUUUCUGCUUUCUUCCGAUGGAUUGGCUAUCAACAUGAACUGCUAGUUAGCAGAAAGAACAAUCAGGCUAGCUUGGCUGAGUCUGUUCUCCAAACACUGGUUUCAAAAUGCUCAUAGUUGGAGAACAGGAUGCAGUUGAGCGAUGCAAACAGGCCUUUUGUGGUGUUGCUGGAGUUCAGACACCCUGCUUUAAGAACGAAGGUGAUCAGUAUGUAUCACAGACACGUACAGAUAUUCCUCGUUUAAUGACCUACCUGGUUAACGACUACUUGGACUUACGAUCUGCAUCAGACUUACAGCGCAGGAACAUGGACAGCAG